AAGCUACAGGUACUAAGUAAUCCUCGUAUCUUUAUGUUGAUUUAGGGUGUAUUGAAUUAGUAUGUAGUACUGUGAAUUGUUUAUAGCUAUUGGUAUUUCAAUAUGUAAUUAAAUGCUUGAACAUAUAAAGUUUAA